rnacentral:rRNA from 1 species
AUUGAACGCUGGCGGCAGGCCUAACACAUGCAAGUCGAGCGGAGCGGCGGACGGGUGAGUAAUGCCUAGGAAUCUGCCUGGUAGUGGGGGAUAACGUCCGGAAACGGGCGCUAAUACCGCAUACUAUCAGAUGAGCCUAGGUCGGAUUAGCUAGUUGGUGGGGUAAAGGCCUACCAAGGCGACGAUCCGUAACUGGUCUGAGAGGAUGAUCAGUCAAACUGGAACUGAGAAAGGGUCCAGACUCCUACGGGGGGCAGCGUGGGGGAAUAUGGAACAAUGGGCGAAAGCCUGAGGCAGCCAUGCGGCGUGUAUGAAGAAGGCCUGCGGGUUGUAAAGUACUUUCAGCGGGGAGACGUACCCGCAGAAGAAGCACCGGCUAACUCCGUGCCAGCAGCCGCGGUAAUAC